rnacentral:rRNA from 1 species
GACGAACGCUGGCGGCGUGCCUAAUACAUGCAAGUUGAGCGAUGAAGAUUGGUGCUUGCACCAAUUUGAAGAGCAGCGAACGGGUGAGUAACGCGUGGGGAAUCUGCCUUUGAGCGGGGGACAACAUUUGGAAACGAAUGCUAAUACCGCAUAACAACUUUAAACAUAAGUUUUAAGUUUGAAAGAUGCAAUUGCAUCACUCAAAGAUGAUCCCGCGUUGUAUUAGCUAGUUGGUGAGGUAAGGGCUCACCAAGGCGAUGAUACAUAGCCGACCUGAGAGGGUGGUCGGCCACAUUGGGACUGAGACACGGCCCAAACGCCUACGGGAGGCAGCAGUAGGGAAUCUUCGGCAAUGGACGAAAGUCUGACCGAGCAACGCCGCGUGAGUGAAGAAGGUUUUCGGAUCGUAAAACUCGGUUGGUAGAGAAGAACGUUGGUGAGAGUGGAAAGCUCAUCAAGUGACGGUAACUACCCAGAAAGGGACGGCUAACUACGUG